UACGUAGGGGUCGAGCGUUGUCCGGACUUACUGGGCGUAAAGCGUGGGUAGGUGGUCGGUGAUGUGCCGUGUGAAAGCGCCGCGCUUCUCGCGGCGAGGUCGCGGUAGACACACCGACUGGAGGCACGGAGGGGGGCGUAGAAUUCCCGGUGUAGUGGUGAAAUGCGUAGAUAUCGGGAGGAAUACCAGUGGCGCAAGCGGCGCCCCUGGCCGUGACCUGACACUGAGCCACGACGGCGUGGGGAGCAAACGGG
rnacentral:rRNA from 1 species